CCCUAUUUCAUUGUUAUCAAAGAGGGCGAAAAACAAGUCGUUGUCUUAUAUUUGAUCAAUAAGGGCGAUAAAAGUAAAUUUGCUCUCUUUGAUCAAACAACAAGGGCGAAUUGUAAAAAUUUGUCUUUUUUGGCUCCUUUCUCGCACAAAUAACAAAGACGACUAGACGAGUACUCAGUAAAACACUACGGAGUAAGACAAACCCAAAAAUAUAAAAUUGUAAAAUGUUUCUCUCUCCUCAAAAUAUAAAACAUAUUUCAUUCGUAUUCUCCAUUGAAGCGGAUUUUGAGCUUUCUUCUCCAUUAAAGCGAUUUUCAAGCUUUCUUCUCCAUUGAAGCAGCUUCUGAGCUUUCUCCUCCAAUUGAAGUAGCUCCUCCAUCAAAUCAGUUUAUCAGCGAGUUCUGAGCUUUCUCCUCCAUUGAAGCAGCCUCUGAGCUUUUUCCUCCGCUGAAGCAAUUUCCUCUAUUGAAGCACCUUCUUAGGGUUUGAAGCACAAUUAGUUUGGUUCGUUGAUCAAAUUCUUUAGUCAAGUCGCUAAAUUAUGAGUCAUUGAGUAGCAUACUGAUGAGAUAGCUUCCCUUGAGAUCGACUUGGGACAAUGGCAAGCCAUAUGAGCAAGGUGCUAAAGCCGAAUUACCAAUGUGUGUUCGUCUAAUGAGAUAUUAUGCAGGUUGCGCCUACCUUAGCAGGUAUACAAUUGUUUGGAAGAGUGCUGAACAAACACCAUUAACUGCAAUCUAUGCCGCAAAGCUACUCCAAGAGAUUACUUUGUAUGUGGGAUAACUUUGAACAGAUUACUUUGUAGACAUCAAUUCUGCAAUACUUGUUGGGCAAGAAAAUGGAGUAACAACAUUACUGGAAUAAUUGAAUUGAAGAGUAAAACUGAAUUCUGAUGAUUAAUUGCAACUCUAAUGUGGAAGAUAGGUGAAGACAAGUCCAAGGACACUCAAACAAUAAUUUUCAGCUUCACUAGCGAUGGAGUAAAAAUUAUAUUGUUUUUUUUUUUUUUUUUGGUGUUCCAUCCGGUUCACCCUUUGGGCUAAUCCGGAUUGGGGGAUCAGUUCU